GAGUAAUGCUUGGGAAUUUGCCUUGAGGUGGGGGACAACAGUUGGAAACGACUGCUAAUACCGCAUGAUAGCUACGGCUCAAAGGGGGCUUCGGCUCUCGCCUUUAGAGAAGCCCAAGUGGGAUUAGAUAGUUGGUGGGGUAAUGGCCUACCAAGUCAACGAUCCCUAGCUGGUCUGAGAGGAUGAUCAGCCACACUGGAACUGAGACACGGUCCAGACUCCUACGGGAGGCAGCAGUGGGGAAUAUUGCACAAUGGGCGCAAGCCUGAUGCAGCCAUGCCGCGUGUGUGAAGAAGGCCUUCGGGUUGUAAAGCACUUUCAGCGAGGAGGAAGGGUUGUUGGUUAAUACCCAGCAGCUUUGACGUUACUCGCAGAAGAAGCACCGGCUAACUCCGUGCCAGCAGCCGCGGUAAUACGGAGGGUGCGAGCGUUAAUCGGAAUUACUGGGCGUAAAGCGUACGCAGGCGGCUUGUUAAGCCAGAUGUGAAAGCCCCGGGCUCAACCUGGGAACUGCAUUUUGGAACUGGCAGGCUAGAGUGCGA
rnacentral:rRNA from 1 species